UGGGCGUCGGUGUGGCCGCAGGCGGGGACGAAGUCCAGCCUCCCCGCAGGGACUGAGGAGGCUGUCCUCACGGGGGUUGAUGAGGAUGAUGAUGAGGAGUGAGGGGUGAGGAGGACCCGCCAUGGCAGCCUCAUCUGAGGUAGGAGCAGAUUGGACUUGGACUUGGACUUGGAGGAGCCUCUUCUUCAGUAAAGAACUGCUUCAGUUGUAAGAUGGUGGCUAUUUGUCUCACUGCAUGACCCAGUUUCUCUUCAUUCAGCUCACAGAAAGAUCUUCUGAUAAUUUCAAAUGGAAUUCUCUGGUAUAACUCAGAAUUCACUGGUCCAUCAAUGAUGAUGAGACAUCCUGGUCCAGAUGAAGCAAAACAGGCCCAAACAAGGACAUCACCGCCCCCAUGGUUUGUGGACGGGAUCAGGAUUCUGAUGCUGGAAUGUUGUUUCGUCUCCAUUUUCAUGGAUUGGAAACACUUUUGAACGGAUGGAUUCUACUUUGGCCUAAAAGUUAAGAUACCUCACAGAUAUGUGAUAUUGGUUCAUUAUACUGAAUUAACAAACACACAACUGUUUGUGUGUAGUAUUGGGGUCAGUAUUCGGUUGCGUUCUCUUUGUCCACUUUCAGGACUAGUGUCUUUUUACACAUAAAUUCUGAGGGCUGGACAAGCAUGAAACUUUGUUUUUUAACAUUUAUUAUAUAAACUUGAUUUUACUGGCCCUGUAUACAUUUGGAUAUGUUCACAGUCUAAACACAUCCAUUUUACAUUCAUAUGUAUUUGUGUUGAUAUUUCUUGCCAUAAAAAUAUUUUAUUAUUGUA